AUGACAACACCAAUUAGCCAGACUGGACGUCAACAUUUGACGGUAGAAUAUCCACAAAUAUCACAUCAAGCCCCAAAAACAACUGCAUUGAAGAAAGUUGCUAAAAUGUGCACCAAUGUAUCCAUGUAUCAAACAUAUGAUGUUAAUAAGGCAAUAAUCUAUUAUUUAGUUGUGAAUAAAAAUUUCUACGAAUCUGGUCAAAUUUUCAUUGUAAAUAUGGCUUCCUUUGUUAUAAGAACAGCUAAAUCUUAUCUGGCCGCUACAGGAGCAACUGUUAGUGGUCAUUAUGGAGAAAUCCUUUACAAGGGAGAUAGGUUAGUCAUGUUUAUAUAUGAAAAAUCAAGAUCUAGAGACAUAAUGCAAGGUCUUUCCAAAAGUGGAACAAAUCUUUGA
rnacentral:rRNA from 1 species